GGCUGGUCCGAAGGUAGUGAGUUAUCUCAAUUGAUUGUUCACAGUUACAGAUCGAACUCCUUGUUCUAUUCUUUCCCCCCUUCUCACUACUGUACUUGACUAGUCUAAA
rnacentral:Y_RNA from 1 species